ACAUGAUGUCAACACAAAGCUUCGCAAGGUGAAAAAGUUCCUGGAGAAGGGUGACAAAGUGAAGCUGUCCAUCCGUUUCCGCGGCCGGGAGAUCACCCACCAGGGAUUGGGCCGGAAGAUGCUGACCCGUAUGGCGGAGGAGUUGAAAGAGAUCGGGGAAGUGGAGCGGCACCCCAAAAUGGAAGGUCGCCACAUGAUUAUGAUCCUGGCGCCUAAGAAGGAAAAAAAUUCGUAAGCUGUAUCCAGGAGGGAUUUUUCUAUGCCGAAAAUGAAGACUCGCCGGGCGGCUGCCAAACGGUUCACCAA
rnacentral:misc_RNA from 1 species